GACGUAGGGGGCCAGCGUUGCUCGGAAUUACUGGGCGUAAAGGGUUCGUAGGCGGUGCGGCAAGUCGGGAGUGAAAUCUCUGGGCUUAACUCAGGGGCUGCUUCCGAAACUGCCGUGCUUGAGUGCGGGAGAGGCGAGUGGAAUUGCAGGUGUAGCGGUGAAAUGCGUAGAUAUCGGGAGGAACACCAGUGGCGAAGGCGAUCACCUGGGGUUGUUCUGACGCUGAGGAGCGAAAGCUAGGGGAGCAAACGGG
rnacentral:rRNA from 1 species